rnacentral:rRNA from 1 species
UACGUAGGGGGCAAGCGUUGUCCGGAAUCAUUGGGCGUAAAGAGCGCGUAGGCGGUCCGGUAAGUCCGCUCUGAAAGUCCGGGGCUCAACCCCGGGAGGCGGGCGGAUACUGUCGGGCUAGAGUCCGGAAGAGGCGAGUGGAAUUCCUGGUGUAGCGGUGAAAUGCGCAGAUAUCAGGAAGAACAUCGGUGGCGAAGGCGCUCUGCUGGACCAUAACUGACACUCAGGGACGAAAGCUAGGGGAGCGAAUGGG